rnacentral:rRNA from 1 species
GAUGAACGCUGGCGGCGUGCUUAACACAUGCAAGUCGAACGGAGUUAUCAUUUCGGAAGCAAUUAGCUUGCUGAGAGCGGAAGAGAAGGUAACUUAGUGGCGGACGGGUGAGUAACGCGUGGGGAACCUGCCCUGCACCGGGGGAUAACACCUGGAAACAGGUGCUAAUACCGCAUAAGCGCACGAGGCCGCAUGGCCAGGUGUGAAAAACUAAGGUGGUGCAGGAUGGACCCGCGUCUGAUUAGCUUGUUGGUAGGGUAACGGCCUACCAAGGCGACGAUCAGUAGCCGGCCUGAGAGGGUGAACGGCCACAUUGGGACUGAGACACGGCCCAA